GAGUAAGUCUCUGUGGUGGAGGGGGCUAGCCGAUAACUAGCUCUUUAUUUGUUCGACUCAAAUCUUACUUU
rnacentral:tRNA from 1 species